rfam:Helicobacter bizzozeronii CCTG 35545, WGS project CAGP01000000 data, contig: tsc_c114
CCCUGAAGCUCGCAUGAAGACUACAUGUUUGAUAGGGUGGGUGUGUAAGUGCAGUAAUGCAUUCAGCUAACCACUACUAAUAGAGCGUUUGGCUUGUUUGG